rnacentral:rRNA from 1 species
UACAGAGGUCUCGAGCGUUAGGCGGAAUCACUGGGCUUAAAGCGUGUGUAGGCGGAUCGUUAAGUGCCUUGUGAAAUCCCACGGCUCAACCGUGGAACUGCUUGGCAUACUGGCGGUCUUGAGCAACCUAGGGGCGAGCGGAACAAAUGGUGGAGCGGUGAAAUGCGUAGAUAUCGGAAGGAACACCGGUGGCGAAAGCGGCGCGCUGGACCCCUUCUGACGCUGAGGCGCGAAAGCCAGGGGAGCAAACGGG